GAUGAACGCUGGCGGCGUGCCUAAUACAUGCAAGUCGAGCGAACGGACGAGAAGCUUGCUUUUCUGAUGUUAGCGGCGGACGGGUGAGUAACACGUGGAUAACCUACCUAUAAGACUGGGAUAACUUCGGGACACCGGAGCUAAUACCGGAUAAUAUUUUGAACCGCAUGGUUCAAAAGUGAAAGACGGUCUUGCUGUCACUUAUAGAUGGAUCCGCGCUGCAUUAGCUAGUUGGUAAGGUAACGGCUUACCAAGGCAACGAUGCAUAGCCGACCUGAGAGGGUGAUCGGUCACACUGGAACUGAGACACGGUCCAGACUCCUACGGGAGGCAGCAGUAGGGAAUCUUCCGCAAUGGGCGAAAGCCUGACGGAGCAACGCCGCGUGAGUGAUGAAGGUCUUCGGAUCGUAAAACUCUGUUAUUAGGGAAGAACAUAUGUGUAAGUAACUGUGCACAUCUUGACGGUACCUAAUCAGAAAGCCACGGCUAACUACGUG
rnacentral:rRNA from 1 species